UUCUCGAAUUUAAAAGAGUUAUUAAUUUUAAUGUAAUAAUUAUUUUUAAUAUGCAAUGAAACGUUAAUAUAUCUAGUUUUUCAAGAGAAUUUAAUUUUGUUAUAUUCUAUGGGAUGAGCUUUAGAUAGGAUUAAAAGUUUUGUUAUAAUUGUUYUAUUGAAAUUUAUUAUUUAAUUGUUUUAGUAAUUAUGAUUAGAUUAGUAUAAGGUUAAAAAAAGGAAUUCGGCAAAUAUUUUUCACCUGUUUAUUAAAAACAUGGCCUUUUGAUAAUAAUUUAAGGUCUAGCCUGCCCCCUGAGGCCGCGGUAUUUUGACCGUGCGAAGGUAGCAUAAUAAUUAGUUUUUUAAUUGAAAGCUGGAAUGAAUGGUUUGAUGAGAAAAUAGCUGUCUCUUUUUAAUAGAAUUUUAUUUUUAAGUGAAAAAGCUUAAAUUUUAUUAAAAGACGAGAAGACCCUAUAGAGUUUAAUUUUGGUUGGGGUGAUUGAAAAAUUUAUUUAACUUUUGAUUAUAAGAUUAAAUUACCUUAGGGAUAACAGCGUAAUUUUUCUUAGAGUUCUUAUCGAAAGAAAAGUUUGCGACCUCGAUGUUGGAUUAAAAUAUAUUUUGGUGCAGAAGCU
rnacentral:rRNA from 1 species